rnacentral:lncRNA from 1 species
GUCACUACUAUUUAAGAAUUAGCUAAUGUAUUUUGAAUAUUAAUUUAAUUUAAUUUUUCGGGACAAAAUUGUCUGUAUUAUCCUAAAAUUAAAAAUAGAAGUUCAAAUUUUUAGGAUAAAAAAAUAUUGACUAAUUCCUAAAUAGCAGCCAUAAGAAUGAUACUUCCUACUAAGGUAGGCCUACCAAAAUGUGGGCUUACAGACGGCCUCAAAGCCCAUAGAAAUUAGAAUUACACGAUCAAAUGUGGUAAAAAUUGCAUGUAUAGCUAGUUUUCGGUUUGGUCAUUCAAAAAUAGCCAGUGUUUUUCUAAGUCAGUAAAAAAAUAGUCACUAUUUUGUUGCAACAGAGACCGAUCAAGCAUAAUAUACUGCAGUUUAGUGCACCUAUGUAUGAACUCCAGCAUAUUAAGCUGAACUGGUAUACUUUGCUGACUCCGGUAUAAUAUACUGGAGACUGGAGCACCGGUGCUCUAAACUCCAGUAUAUUAUACUGGACUGAUAUACUUUCUGGAACUACAGCAUAUUAUAUUGG